UGAAGUCCCUAAUCCUGGAGUUCCUGAAUCCCGUAGCACCUGAUGUAUGCCAUCCUGGAGACCAUGCAAGGGGCCAGGAAGCCUCCCAAUCCAGGACACACUACGUUCUUCUUUUACACCAGCAGCCUGUCAAGACGAAGAGACCUGAGAGAAUGAGGCCACGGGAAAUUGCGAACUGGUCGACACCUGCUGAAGAAAAGCACAAAUGUUACACUCAACGAGGCCUACUAAAACUAACCUUGCUGCGACAUUGGAGGCAUAUUCUCAGUUUUAAGAUACGUCCCGGCAUAUCGUAAGAUACGUUUAACAUAGAGAUGAAACAGCAAUCACACUUGAUUUGGUACAAUCUCAUUUUCUGUUACACACUUUUCUUAAACUCUUUGUUUGUUUACGUGGCGCUGCUUGUGACAACUUGUUACUUUAGCUCGUACUUGGUAUACAUGCGGGCUUCUUCAAUGUGCGUGCACGUGCCCACAAUAUAACAUCGCAGUACAUGCUCAUUUCAUCCACAAUGAGAGAGAGUAAGAACGCGUCAAAAGACGGAGAACGACAGAGAAGGAGAAAUGGAUGUACUCUUGUACGUUACAGCACCCCUAGUCUCGUAAAAGCUCAAAAAAGUGUAGAAAAGCACGGAUGGCGCCACUUCUAUAGGCCACGCCCAAACCGCCGGAGGAGCUUCCAAUUUGCGCAGGAAACAUACAGCUAGCUAAAAGCUUCUUCGCCGACUUUGCAGCAAAAGUGCGCAGCUUCGCGUAAAGCCCAAGCGAACGGAAACAAACCAACGGAGAGCCGUAUAAGUUCAAAAUGCCAUAGAAAGUGCGGUCACUUCUUAUGGAGCUCGCAGAAUCAGCCUCGCUGUAGAUAUUCGCCCGCCUUCGGGCUAAUAGCAUCCGAAUGACAGGCACUCGUGCGCCGCAUCCCCUUAGCGCCCUAGACUAGAAAUGGUCUAAAACGCACGUCUUCUUCCUGGGAGUGCCUCCUUGUUACCAUGGAAACUGUGGUCUCUGGAGUCUAUGGGGUGACCCCCAUUCUGCAAGCACUUUCUCUCGUACCAUGCACGUGUGCAAAAGGAGCACCCAACAGUCUGAGCACCAAUGGCAGCUGCAGGAGUAAUUGGCCCUAGGCCGGCAUUGUUUUCGCCACCCGAAAAUGGUGCUUGUACUUCCGCCCACUGGAACGGCGCUUGGUGUAGCGGAGUAA